rnacentral:tRNA from 1 species
GUUAUUUUGGCAGAUUAGUGCUAUAAAUUUAGGAUUUAUAUAUGUAAUUAUAUUACAAAUAAUA